rnacentral:misc_RNA from 1 species
ACAACAACCGAAUAGAACAGAUUUACGUGCGUAUAAAUACA